rnacentral:rRNA from 1 species
GACGUCGGGUAACAGUCUCGGCUCGUGAAUCGAUGAAGACCGCAGCUAAAUGCGCGUCAGAAUGUGAACUGCAGGACACAUGAACACCGACACGUGGUCCAAUUACUGUCGGGCCU